CCUGAAGGGGAAAAAAUGUUUAUGACAAAACACUUUAGCCACAUAAGCAUACAGUAGCGGGGUGGGGGCAAUAAUGGCCAUCAAUUAAUAAUAUUAUUAAUGAUAAUAAUUGAUAAUGAUAAUGAUAGCGGAGCUCCAUAGGUAUGGGGAAAUGGUAUAUAACUAUGCGACUUUUGGUCAUCGCGCGGGUAGCCUGUGCUCGCCCGCUAGCCAAUUUUGCGAUAAUUUCGCUAUACGUCUCCCAACAAAAAAAAAAAAAAAUUAAAAAUGAAUACACUUUUGCACUAUCUGGGAUUGCUAAAUCCGUUAGAGAACCCUCACAGUUACAGUAAAAACCUACAAUAAUUUGAAUUUCUGUAUUUUGUGCUUGCACUAUCACGGGAACCCUGCGUCUAAAUUUUUCGCGCGUUUUUGCUCUUGCAACUCGCGGCCAACACAGUGAAUAUUGUUUUUUGCAUUAUUUUUUCGUCGUGGCUGAAACCAAGAAAAAAAAAAUCGAUAAACUUAACACUUUUAUUAAAUAAAGACGUACAAACGAUGGACGGAAGGACAAGCGAUGGGUUUCGGAAAAGGAGGUGAAUCCACCCACAAAAGAAGCUCCAAACAAGCUGCCAGCUUGGGGACAUGAUGUUAGGGCAGGAUGUACGUAUAAGGCAUUGCAUAUUGCUGCAUUAAGUUAAUGCAGCUAAGGGAAAAGUAGGAUAACUUGAGUAACAAAAAGAUAGAUUAAUAGUUUUGCAAAUGAAAACUUGUUAUAAAAUACUGUACCAGACUAAUAUAAUAAACAAAUAUUUAAAGAUAAA